UAAUGGCCAACUAGAGCAAUGUCUCAUUUGGGGUUAGAUGGUGCUCUGGACAAAAUGAGCCUGGUUAUCUGUUUCCAAUAGACAGGAGUCGUUCAUUUCAAUUGGAGAACUAUAUCCAACUGGAAUGCUUGCCUCUCAUCAAUGGUUUUAAAUCUCUUGUUCCAUUUAGAAUCCUUUCUAUUCUACAGUUGUUUCUCACUGGUGCCUGUAGUAACAUCAGAUUUCAACUGAAACCACUGAGAGGACAGCCCCAACUACAAUGUCUUCUCCCCAACUCCAUACCAUGAAGAGGAGAACCCUCAACCACCAGCAACAGAGACAUUAUUGAGGGUUGGCCAGAAAAUAUCUGAAGCCAGAGGCCUUAGCUGGCAGUUGUAAGGAAUCCCAAGAGGGCUGUAAAGACUGGCAUGGGUGCAUCCAGAAGACAAGAGCCAGUGAUGAUACCUUGUAAGAUAAACACUGAACUCGGAGUGAGAAGCUUUCUUAUCUGAUUUCCAGAGAUGAAGACAUCUCACAGGUAUUAGGUGACUGGUCAAGGACAUGGUGGUAGGGCUGAUGGGGAAAAUGUCUAUUCUGUCAAUAAGGUGAUAUAAUCUCAGGUUCCUUAUUUUCUGAAACUGAAAACAGAGGUGAAAUAACCUACACUGAAAGUCUGUUAUGACUAAAAAGCCUAGGUGGGGGCCUAGACUUAUAAACCUUGUAGAACAAAAUUGCUCUGAGCACCACAUGUUUUCACUGAUCUUGGAAAAUCUUUUACUCCGUGGUGGAUGGGCGCUUGUUGGCUGAAGGCCACAGCAUGAGUAUGGUCAGAUGCACACGGGUGAAGGACCACAGGGCAUUUGCAAACCAGACAGCCUUGCUGUUGGAAUCGUACACUAACAGGUCUGAGGGUUUUCAUCAAUUGCAAUAUUUAACAAAAUUAUCCUUACUCAGAGUUAACACUAGACAGUUAUUACUGUGCUUUCUAUAACAGGGAGAAAAUUAUAGGGGAAAUGCAAAGGUAGAUUUCUUUUAAUUCAGUUUUGCCAAGGAUCAUGCUUGAAAGCAAACUAGCUAAUAUAAGCUCAGAGGAAUGCUCAAGGAGGAAGACCCACCUCAGAGAGGGAGAGGCCUCUGAGACGGAGCUAGCCAGCUCUGCUCUUGUUGGCCUUGACCCCCACCUCAUUGAAUGCAAGUCAGAAUGUUUGGAGGAAAUGGACAGAGGGAGGGCCUGGCAGAGGGUGGCUCUGAGAACAUGAAAGGAAACAUGUUUGGUGCCCCCAUCCUCCCAAAUCAUUACUACAUUAGUCUAUUCUAAUGGAAAAAAAUUCUCCUGGGAGCCACAAGACUACUUUGUUCUUUUUUCUCCUCCCAGGGCAGAACAGCUCCAAUCUGUGAGCAAUGAGGUGAAAUGAAGGGGGUGGGGCAGGCUGAGUGAUGACAGAGGAGGCUUUUAUCUUCCCCAAACUUCUCAUUCACAUGGUCUCCCCAUGGAUGAUAAUAGACAGAAGACACAGGACAGAUCCAGACCUUGAAAUCAUAGAAAAAGAAUCAAAGUGAUUGAGUAUAAAAUGAGAAUGUGUAAAAUGAUUAAAGGCAUAAAAUAGGAGGGAAUCUACAAAAAAAAAAAAAGACCC